GCCUGCCUCAGGCUCCCAAAGUGCUGGGAUUACAGACUUUUCAGGAACACCUGCUGUGUGGCCGGCACUGUAGUAGGUGCCAGGGAUACAAAGAAGAAACUUUCAGGGCUCUUAGGAAGACAGGAAAACAAGUCAAUCAGCAAUGGUCCUAGCGUGAUGAGGAAACUGAGGUUCUGAAUGAUUAGAUGACUCACCCGAUAUCACACAGCUGGUAAGCACGUGAACCAGGAUGAGAAACCCAGGCUAUCUAUGCCAGUGCCCAGUUAACCAGUUCACCAGAACACCAGAAGCCGCCCCCAGGGCUGCAAGCUGACCAUGCCUGGGACACAGGAGGUUGCAGUGGUGAAGAUCAACAGGCGGGGCGAGGAGCAUCUCCGUCUCCCUCUGAAGACCAUUUGGAAGAGGGUGUGAGAGCUGCCGCCAGGCUUUCCCAGAGAACAGCUGGGCCUGGAAGGGGCGGUCCAGGUCCCAUAAUAACUGCUACCUGCUGCUGCAGCAAUUUUCCCUGCUGGGUGUUUCCAAGUCCGAGUCUCCUGGGGGAGGAGGCUGGGAGGAGGAGGAGGAGGAGGGCUGAUUCUCUAAACUCCCCCUGCUUCUCACCAAAGGUCUGUCCUUGGCCCAGCUUCCCUUCCGAAGGUUGAGUAAUCUCAAAAAAUUGCAGCCUGGCAUGAAAGAGCAGGCCUGCAGGCCAAGCCAGAUCACGUCCGCACGCGGGAUGCUUGGCCCACAUGCUCCUGUACACUUGUAACUGUUAAACCAGAGGACAAGAAGCAACAGAUGUCCUCAGAUCACCAAACCAGCAAAUGCGCAGAGCCAUGGUGGGCGUCUGGCCCCAGUGCUUGGGUGGCCCCUAACAUCAGAUUAAGGAAAAAAGACCUCUCCUCAGCUGGAACGUCCCACUUCCUCCUCCCUCCUCCUCACCAGUAUUUUUCUCUCUGCUUUGCCUGGAUUGGAGUCCUGACCUGGCUACUCCCAGCUGUGUGAACUGGGCCAGCAACUUAGCUCCGUUGUGCCUCAGUUUCUCCAUCUCUAAAUGAAGCGCUUAUUCCUCUCUCAUGGAGCCGUCGUGAGAAUUACGUGAAUGAAUACAGGCUGACUACUUUGAACAGUGCCUGGUACGUAAAGCCCUGUACACUGUAGCUUUUGCUGAUGGUGGUAGACACUCUGCUAUUUAGAGAGGUGUUCUUUCUCUCGAGGCUUUGAUUCCUGCUAAAACAGAAAUCAUUUGGAAAUGGACACUUUUUCUGCCAUUUAGAGAGGUAUUCUUUGUCUUGAGCCUUUGAUUCCUGUUAAAAUAGAAAUGAUUCAAAAAUGAA
rnacentral:lncRNA from 1 species